UUUACUUCUAAUAAUCCAGGUUAUAAUAAUUCUAAGCUGAAUAAAACAGGUUCUAUGUUCAAGAGUUCAUAUAGUCCCCAAACUAUAAAAUCGGGUAUUUAGCCCCUCAAACCUUAUAAUCCAGUCAUUUCAACCCCUAAGCUGUUUCACAAGGCAGUUUUGCAUACGUGGCGGGCUGAUUGGACCGUAUUUACCACUUCGUAACAGGAGGGAAAGGGAGAGUUCCUCUCGCUCUAGGGUUCAUAUUCCCCAUCUCGAGUUCUUCCCGCACGUCAGUAGCAGCGUCAAAUUCCGGACCUGGGGCGAGGCGACUCUAGCGCGGGAAAUCAUAGCAGCGGCGCUGGUGCGCAGCCACGGCGAGCGCGACGACCCCGGCGCCCGCGACAGGCUACAGGAUAAGUUCUGUGGCUGUCGGGGCAGGUGCAUGGGCUGCACGGCGACGCUCGACGCGCCGGCCGCAAGCACGGCAAGGAUGGACAGGGCCAAGUGAUAUGAACUGUAGAACAUGGUGAUAGAAAAGAAUUUUUUCAGUGUAAAUCCAUGCAUAUAGAUUAGGGAGGAAUGAAAUGUGUAAAAGAAGCUCAUCUAUUAUCCCUCUACUGUUGAGUGUAAUGUGGAGAUUGCCCAAGUGAUAUUGUAUAAUCUAGUAAGCAUAUUAUUAUGCAAUUCAAACGUUGUAUCCUUUUGGGAUUAUCUUAUUCGCA